rnacentral:rRNA from 1 species
UAGGGAAUAUUGGACAAUGGGCGCAAGCCUGAUCCAGCCAUGCCGCGUGAGUGAAGAAGGCCCUCGGGUUGUAAAGCUCUUUUGUCCGGAAAGAAAAGCUUUGGGUUAAUACCCCGAAGUCCUGACGGUACCGGAAGAAUAAGCACCGGCUAACUUCGUGCCAGCAGCCGCGGUAAUACGAAGGGUGCAAGCGUUACUCGGAAUUACUGGGCGUAAAGCGUGCGUAGGUGGUUCGUUAAGUCUGAUGUGAAAGCCCUGGGCUCAACCUGGGAAUGGCAUUGGAUACUGGCGGGCUAGAGUGCGGUAGAGGGCAGUGGAAUUCCCGGUGUAGCAGUGAAAUGCGUAGAGAGCGGGAGGAACAUCUGUGGCGAAGGCGACUGCCUGGACCAGCACUGACACUGAGGCACGAAAGCGUGGGGAGCAAACAGG